GCCAAAAACCUAGCCCAACAAACAUGAAUAUUCACCAAACAACUAACCUGUGAAAAUAAACCAUUUUAAUACUUUAGUAAAGGCGAUUGAAAAUCUUAUUGGAGCAAUAACAAGAGUACCGCAAGGGAAAGGUGAAAUAUUUAAUGAAAAAUUUUUAAGCAACAAAAAGUAAAGAUUACCCCUUGUACCUUUUGCAUCAUGAUUUAACUAGUUUAACCAAGCGAAACGUAUUUAAGUUUGACCUCCCGAAACUAAGUGAGCUACUUCGGGGCAGUCAAAAGAACGAACCCGUCUCUGUUGCAAAAGAGUGGGAUGACCCCCAAGUAGCGGUGACAGACCUAACGAACUUAGUGAUAGCUGGUUACUCAAGAAAAGGAUUUUAGUCCAGCCUAAAGCCCACUAAGUACUUCAAAACAGUAACACAGGCUUUAGAGUAAUUCAAAUAAGGUACAGCCUAUUUGAAACAGGACACAACCUACACUAGUGGAUAAAACUAGCCGCACAGGCAACCAAGUUGGCCUAAAAGCAGCCACCUUUUAAAUAGCGUCAAAGCUUAAUUGCCCCAAUGCCGAAUUCCAACACUCCCAUCUUAAUCCCCCACCAGUACUGAGUAAUUCUAUAACACUAUAGAAAAUUUUAUGUUAAAACUAGUAACAAGAAGAAGACCUUCUCUGCAAUGCAAGUGUAAAUCAGAAAGGACAAACCACUGAUACUUAACUCCCAUGAACCUAAAGUAGAAACUAAUCAAGAAAACCCUACUUUCAUUAACGUUAACCUAACACAAGAGCAUUUUAAGAAAGAUUAAAAGAAAAAGAAGGAACUCGGCAAAUUUUAGCCUCGCCUGUUUACCAAAAACAUCGCCUCUUGAGUAACUAUAAGAGGUCCAGCCUGCCCAGUGACUCUGUUUAACGGCCGCGGUAUCCUAACCGUGCGAAGGUAGCGUAAUCACUUGUUCUCUAAAUAAGGACUAGUAUGAACGGCAUCACGAGGGUUAUACUGUCUCCUUUUUCUAAUCAGUGAAACUAAUCUCCCCGUGAAGAAGCGGGAAUAUCAGUAUAAGACGAGAAGACCCUAUGGAGCUUAAAACAACUCAACAUUUGCUUAAUACCAAAAAUUUCAGAACUUUAGACUUCCUCAAGCAAUAUGAUUGUAAAGUUUUUGGUUGGGGUGACCACGGAGUACAAUAUAACCUCCAUGUUGAAGGAGGUCUUCCUCUAAGCUAAGAAUUACUUAUCUAAGCAUCAACACACUGACAUUCCUUGACCCAAUAUAUUUGACCAACGAACCAAGUUACCCUAGGGAUAACAGCGCAAUCUACUUCAAGAGCUCCUAUCGACAAGUGGGUUUACGACCUCGAUGUUGGAUCAGGGUAUCCUAGUGGUGUAGCCG
rnacentral:rRNA from 1 species